rnacentral:lncRNA from 1 species
UAUUUAUACAUGUUACCAACAUUGAUUUCUUUCUAUCUGCCCUCAACAAUGUAAGUAGGUUGUGUUCAGUCAGUUGAAGGCCUGAGUAGACAGGCUUGCCCUCCACAAGAUAUAGGGAGGAUAUUUCUGGAAGGAAGAUUUUAUGGCCCACAUCUGGGGAAGAUCAGCUGGGGUUUAUGGCCCUCCUUAGAGGAGAAGAGAGGAAGUUCAUCACCUUGCUGGAAACACCAUCACAGACAAAGAGGUUUGUAAGUGAUUCCAAAUGCAGGUUUUUGUAGAUAGCAAUGGCCAAAUUUCUUUUCUGGCUGUCUAAAUAAUAAUCUGGAGUAUGCCUGGAGGAAGUCCCAUUCAGCCAUAUUAAAAUGGAUAUUUAUGCCAAAUAUGAACAUGUUUGGAGUGGAAACUAAGGAAUGGAGUGAUCAUUAAGAAUGUUUUGCCUCCUAAAACUCUUUUGCUUUCUGGAUCAAAUGAAG